rnacentral:misc_RNA from 1 species
UAACCACUCAAGCCUCGGCUUGGUCUUGGGGUUCCGCGGUCUCGCGGCCCUUAAAAUCAGUGGCGGUGCCAUCUGGCUCUAAGCGUAGUAAUUUCUCUCGCUAUAGAGUCCCGGUGGUCUCCUGCCAGAACCCCCCCAUUUUUUAC